rnacentral:rRNA from 1 species
AUUGAACGCUGGCGGCAUGCUUUACACAUGCAAGUCGAGCGGCAGCGCGGGGGCAACCCUGGCGGCGAGCGGCGAACGGGUGAGUAAUGCAUCGGAACGUAUCCUCGAGUGGGGGAUAACCCAGCGAAAGUUGGGCUAAUACCGCAUGAGCUCUGAGGAGGAAAGCGGGGGACCUGCGAGGGCCUCGCGCUGGAGGAGCGGCCGAUGUCCGAUUAGCUAGUUGGUGGGGUAAAGGCUUACCAAAGCGACGAUCGGUAGCUGGUCUGAGAGGAUGAUCAGCAAAACGGGGACUGAGAAACGGCCCAGCCUCCUACGGGAGGCAGCAGUGGGGAUUUUGGACAAUGGGGGCAACCCUGAUCCAGCCAUGCCGCGUGAGUGAAGAAGGCCUUCGGGUUGUAAAGCUCUUUCGGACGGAACGAAAUGGGCGGGACUAAUACUCCUGUCUGAUGACGGUACCGUAAGAAGAAGCACCGGCUAACUACGUG